rnacentral:rRNA from 1 species
UACGUAGGGGGCAAGCGUUAUCCGGAUUUACUGGGUGUAAAGGGAGCGUAGACGGCAGUGCAAGUCCGGAGUGAAAGCCCGGGGCUCAACCCUGGGACUGCUCUGGAAACUGUAAAGCUGGAGUGUCGGAGAGGCAGGCGGAAUUCCUAGUGUAGCGGUGAAAUGCGUAGAUAUACGGAGGAACACCAGUGGCGAAGGCGGAUUGCUGGACAGUAACUGACGCUGAGGCUCGAAAGCGUGGGGAGCAAACAGG